GACGAAACGGACUUAAAAUCCGUUGGCUUUAUUGACCGUGAGGGUUCAAGUCCCUCUACCCCCA
rnacentral:tRNA from 1 species